UGGAGCAUGUGGUUUAAUUCGACGCAACGCGCAGAACCUUACCCAGGCUUGACAUCCCGAGAAUCCGGCCCAAAAGCUGGAGUGCUAGCAAUAGAAUUCGGUGACAGGUGCUGCAUGGCUGUCGUCAGCUCGUGUCGUGAGAUGUUGGGUUAAGUCCCGCAACGAGCGCAACCCUCGUCUUUAGUUGCCACCAUUCAGUUGGGCACUCUAGAGAGACUGCCGGUGUUAAACCGGAGGAAGGUGGGGAUGACGUCAAGUCCUCAUGGCCCUUACGCCUGGGGCUACACACGUACUACAAUGGCCGCUACAAUCCGUUGCAAGACCGCGAGGUGGAGCCAAUCGGAAAAAAGCGGCCUCAGUUCAGAUUGCAGUCUGCAACUCGACUGCAUGAAGGCGGAAUCGCUAGUAAUCGCAGAUCAGCAAGCUG
rnacentral:rRNA from 1 species